UUUGAGCAAAUCCCUUAAAAUAUACUAAAAUUGGAAUGAUACAGAGAUUAGCAUGGCCUCUGAGCAAGGAUGCCUCGAAAAUUCAUGAAUCGUUCCAUAGUUUU
ensembl:snRNA U6 U6 spliceosomal RNA